CUUCCGCCACUUUUCCCUUUCCCAAAAUUAGUCUCCAGCAAAAGAAAUCCCAAUUCCUAAGUCCCCAACCCCCACUUUGCUCGUCCAAUUCGUUGGCUUCCGGUUCUCACGCUCACCUCUUCGGUUAUUCUCUUCAAAGCACGGUUGUUCAUCGGUCACUACUCUACAGCUACCAUUGAAUUGAAUUUAGAUGGAUAAAUUUGUCACAAGGUUGGACCAUUCUCAACCAAGUCCUAGUUGUUAAUCCUUGAGCCAAGCGCAUGCUAAUGUUUUCCAUCUUAUAAAUGAACUCGAUUUGGGGUCACUUAAAGGCGAUCCAGGAGAAAGAAUACCUAUUGCGGACUAUUACCCUCGAAUACGAUCGAAUACGAGAUGAAGUAAGGGAACAUUGCAUUCAACAAGGUCCUUGCCAACCUUUCAAGCAUCAAUUUCCCAAAACUCAAACAGGAGGAAGAAUGCGUCAAUUUGUUCCAAGUUGGUUCAAUGGCCAAUUUUCUAAAUGGUAGGAGUAUAGUGUGAAGAAAGAUGCGGCAUAUUGCUUAUGUUAUUAUUUGUUCAAAAAUGAUUUUAUUCAUGAAAGUGCGGGAGAAUUUUAUAUAAAGAAUGGUUUUAGGGCUUGGAAUAAGGGUCUUGAAAGAUUUUGUUUACAUGUUGGUGAUGUUAAUAGUAUCCAUGAUAAAUGUUUCAAGAAGAUGCUAGACUUAUCAAAUCAUCAUCAAUCAAUUCAAGCUGUUUUUUAUAAGCACUCCGAUAAGUUGAAAAGUGAGUAUCAGAUGCGUUUAGAAGCUUCAAUUUAUAAUGUGGCAAGACUUCUAUUAUUGUGUGUAUUGGCUAUUAGGGGUCAUGAUGAAAGUGAAACUUCAACUAAUCAAGGCCUCUUUCUAGGAUUCUUACGAUGAUAUGGGGACAAACAUCCGGAUGUGGAAAAAGUCAUAUUAGAAAAUGCUCCACAAAAUGAUACUUUGAUUUGCCCUAUGAUCCAAAACGAUAUUAUCAAUGUUUGUGCAAAAGAAACAAUAAAGGCUAUAAUUGGAUACUUGAAUGGAGAUUACUUUGGUAUAUUAGUUGAUGAGUCCAAAGAUAUCUCACACAAAGAACAGAUGCCUCUUGUUUUGCGUUAUGUUGAUAAGAAUGAUGAAGUGGUAGAGCGAUUUGUUGGUCUUGUCCAUGUUAGUGAUACAUCGGCAUGCUCAUUGAAGGAAGCAAUCUACUCUUGCUUUCAGAGCACUCACUAAGUCCAUCACAAAUACGUGGACAAGGUUAUGAUGGAGCUAUUAACAUGAGGGAAGAGAUAAAUGGUCUCAGGACUUUGAUUAUGAAAGAUAGUUCAUCGGCAUAUUACAUUUAUUGCUUUGCGCAUCAAUUGCAAUUAACACUUGUAGCUAUUGCUAAAAAGCAUUUGGAUGUUGAAGACUUCUUUUGUCAUGUUACUAACGUGUUGAAUGUAUUGGAGGAUCUUUUGAGCGCAGAGAUUUGCUUCGACAUCUUCAAGCUAAAAGUUUGGAGCAAUUACUUGAGUCCAGUGAAGUUCAUACUGGGCGAGGACUAAAUCAAGAACGCGGGCUUCAAAGACCAGGUGACACUCGUUUGUGAUCACAUUUCAAAACAUUAGAUAACUUUAUUGUUAUUUUCUCAUCUAUUGUCCGUGUGCUUGAAGUGAUUAAAUAUGAAGGUUCCGCCUCAAAUGAGAGAAAUCAAGCAAAAAAAUUUUUGAGUGAGAUAACAACAUUCAAAUUUAUUUUUAUGCUUCACUUGAUGUUGCGAAUCAAGCAAGAAAGGCAGAAAAUGGGCCGCAAGUAUUGGCAAUGUCAAAUGAGUUAAACAAGAUCCUACAAAAAGGGAAUCAAGAUAUUGUUAAUGCCGUGGAGUUUCUUAACAUCACAAAGAAAAGAUUUCAAGAUUUGAGAGAAAGUGGAUGAGAAUCUUUACUAGAUAAUGUUUUUCUCAUUUUGUGUUAUGUAUGGCAUUUUGAUUCCCAAGAUGGAUGAAUCUUAUUUUCCUGGAAAGUCGAAGCGCAAGUCUUUCGGUGUUUAUUAUUCACACUACUUGCGUGUUGACAUCUUUUAUGUUGUAAUUGAUGUGCAACUUCAAGAGCUUAAUGAUCGUCUUGAUGUAGUGAGUAGUGAUUUGCUUCUCGGGAUGGCUAGCUUGAAUCCAGCCAAUUCUUUUGCUAAUUUUGAUAAAGGUAGAAUAAUGACUUUAGCAAAAUGUUACCCAAAUGAGUUUGAUAAAGUACA